AAUGCUCCUGGAACCAAGGUGACUUUCAAAAUAUCCAUACAAUUAAAGCCAGGAUUGUCAGAAAGCAUCUUUCAGAUACGUCUGAAAGGAGAAGCAACAGAGGCAAGGAGGGCUUCCACUGCCCCCCACUUGACAAAAACACUGAUUAAGAGCAACACUUUCAACAGAAAAGCAGCCCAGCAAGAUCCUUUCCAGCUGAAUACCCAGCUGCCAGCCAUGACCUAUGACACUUAGAUCAAAGCUCUCUGUUCUAUCUUGGUUCUAAAGUCCAAAGUGGAUAGACUCAGUCUCUGACAAUGCCCAGGGACUCCAUGCUGUGGACCCAAGUAAGGAGCCAGCACUUCAGCAAAACCAGCUUCAGAGUGUUUAGUUCACACACAUCUGCAUUGGCUCUAUGUGUGAUACAGUAUAUAUCUCAAAUAAACAACCGGACAAACUGGCAUUCACAGACCCUGGACUGCAAGCAAACCCCUUCUGGCUAUGUUCCUGGUAGAGGAACUCAGGACAGCAAAUGGACAGCGAAAGCAACACCCCCAACUGCAUUCAGGUCAAGGCACAGUUACAACCUGAUCAAGUCCCACAGCUAUGUGAUGGGAGAAUGAGGGCUGAACUGAAGGAUCAAAAUCAGGGGAUGACACUGUAGAUGCCUAAAAAGCCAUAUGUACCUCAUGGCCCAGUGCCUCUCUGCUCUUUCUCCUUCUCUCUUAUCCACAUCUACUCUCAGAAGUACUUGCCCUUUCUUAAAUAAACUCUAUCUGCUUCUAUUUCUAGUCAUGUGGCCCAAGUACCAUCUUUCCUUCUGAGAUAUAAUAGCUUGGAAUCCUAUGACCUUGGAACUCAAAUCAAUAGCCCAGCACUAAGCAUGUUUUCCAUGCUAAGCAUGACUUUUCCUUUUCUGCAUCUCUUUUUUUGAGGGAUACCACCCCUAAGCCUAACCAUGCUUUAGCUGAUUCUCUGGACUUUCCCACCAUUUCUCCAACCUCCAUGUCUAGUUUAAAAGGCAUAGCUUUCUUUCUAUCUGUGUCUUAACUGCAGCUGCCAGGAUUUACAACCUGCCUCUCCUGAUGUUUCCCUCAAGGUUUAAUAAAAUUGUCCUUGAGCUUCCUCCAGAGUCCGUUUCCAGAUUCUAAAUGAAUAAGGCUGAAACCCCGAACAGAACCUCUGUUUCCCCAGUCAGUCAACGUCUACAAUAGCUACCAGCCAACCACAGACUGUACUGUGUACAAACCCCACACACUCACAGGCGGGAAGUUCUGAGUUCUUUGCUCAUUGUACUGAACAAUGUCUCCAAAUAAACUCAUAUCUUCCCGUUACUGCUA